rnacentral:rRNA from 1 species
ACUCCUACGGGAGGCAGCAGUGGGGAAUAUUGCACAAUGGGCGCAAGCCUGAUGCAGCCAUGCCGCGUGUGUGAAGAAGGCCUUCGGGUUGUAAAGCACUUUCAGUCGUGAGGAAGGUAGUGUAGUUAAUAGCUGCAUUAUUUGUACGUUAGCGACAGAAGAAGCACCGGCUAACUCCGUGCCAGCAGCCGCGGUAAUACGGAGGGUGCGAGCGUUAAUCGGAAUUACUGGGCGUAAAGCGCAUGCAGGUGGUUGUUAAGUCAGAUGUGAAAGCCCGGGGCUCAACCUCGGAAUAGCAUUUGAAACUGGCAGACUAGAGUACUGUAGAGGGGGUAGAAUUUCAGGUGUAGCGGUGAAAUGCGUAGAGAUCUGAAGGAUACCGGUGGCGAAGGCGGCCCCUGGACAGAUACUGACACUCAGAUGCGAAAGCGUGGGAGCAAAC